rnacentral:lncRNA from 1 species
UAUACUACGAAAUACACAAAACUAGGUUUAUGGAAUCAUUCAUAACGACGCACUAAGUCUCUUGUAGUUGAAAGUCCUGGUACAACGAAAUACACAAAACUAGGUUGAUGGAAUCGUUCAUGAAUAUGCACUAACUGAGUUUUAGUUCCAAAGUCUGUAUCCUUCGAAAUACACAAAACUAGGUUUAUAGAAUCAUUCAUAAUGACGCACUAAGUCUCUUGUAGUUCAAAGUCUUGGUACAACGAAAUACACAAAACUAGGUUGAUGGAAUCGUUCAUGACGAUGCACUAACUGAGUUUUAGUUCCAAAGUCCUUAUACUACGAAAUACACAAAACUAGGUUUAUGGAAUCAUUCAUAACGACGCACUAAGUCUCUUGUAGUUCAAAGUCCUGGUACAACGAAAUACACAAAACUAGGUUUCGGGAAUCGUUCAUAAAAUGACACUGUUGUAGUUCCAAAGUCGGUAUACAACGAAAUACACAUGACUAGGUUUAUGGAAGAGUUCAAACAACCCAACAACUAUGUUGUAGUUCCAAAGUCUGGAUACAACAAAAUAGAGGAAACUAGGUUUAGGGAAUCAUACAUAAAUAAGCACUAAUUGUGUUUCAGUUCCAAAGUCCGGAUACAACGAAAUAUAGGAAACUAGGUUUAGGGAAACAUACAUAAAUAAGCACUAAUUGUGUUUCAGUUCCAAAGUCCGGAUACAACGAAAUACACAAAAGUAAGAUUAUGUAAUCGUUCAUAACUACGCACUAACUCUGUUGUAGUUCAAAGUACAGAUACAACGAAAUACACAAAACUAGGUUGAUGGAAUCGUUCAUGAAUAUGCACUAACUGAGUUUUAGUUCCAAAGUCUGUAUCCUUCGAAAUACACAAAACUAGGUUUAUAGAAUCAUUCAUAAUGACGCACUAAGUCUCUUGUAGUUCAAAGUCUUGGUACAACGAAAUACACAAAACUAGGUUGAUGGAAUCGUUCAUGACGAUGCACUAACUGAGUUUUAGUUCCAAAGUCCUUAUACUACGAAAUACACAAAACUAGGUUUAUGGAAUCAUUCAUAACGACGCACUAAGUCUCUUGUAGUUCAAAGUCCUGGUACAACGAAAUACACAAAACUAGGUUUCGGGAAUCGUUCAUAAAAUGACACUGUUGUAGUUCCAAAGUCGGUAUACAACGAAAUACACAUGACUAGGUUUAUGGAAAAGUUCAAAGAAGCCAAUAACUCUGUUGUAGUUCCAAAGUCC